AACUGGUAAAAAGGGAUAAUUUUUAGUUUCACUUUAAUGCGAUGUAAUAAGGUGAACUCUCUGGUGGUCGGACCGGCUUUUUGGGUUUUAAGGAGUGGAAUCAUGUCACAUGGUCUGAUGGAUGGACGGACACGCGGAGACACGAGAUUACUUUUUUUGUUGGCUUUGAAAGCGAGUUUGUGAAACAGACGCGCGUUUGUGCGCGUUGUUACUGCUUUAUAUCGAAGAAGAUUCUUCUAUUCUGUAGAAUGCAAAAUGGAGUUUUGGAGCACGAUUUGUCUUAAGCUUGAUGAGGGAAAUGUCGAGUAAUGAUCAAGAUUCAAGAGAUGAUGGGGGAAGUUGUGGGUAACAUUAAGCGUCUGCGUUGCGUUACAUGUUGACAUCUGAUACCUCAAUUUACUAGCUCAUUGUCUAAUCAUAAGAUCAAAAACUCUUCUUUUUGGUAUGGUGAGGGGCUCUUGAGGAAUUUGAUGAGCCUGCUUCAGCUUUGGUUUGGAACUUGUUAAGUGAAAGUGACGAAAGAAGAGCUUCGUUGCCCCAGCCAGAUUUGGUUCUUAGAGGAGUUUUGGUGUUGGUGUUCCCAUUGACAUUCAGGAAGGAUGGGUUCAAAAACUUCAUUUUCAAGGUGAUGUUCGGUAGGGAUAGAGGUCAAACAAGUUUCUGAAUUCUGAUGGGCUCGGUUAAGGAUUUCAAAGUUGUCAUCAAGGCUUGUGUAGUCAAAAGAGCAUGAGAGGAAAAUAUAUUACUUUUGAAUGGAACAGAGUGGUCACAUAUUUGUGAACUGAUCAUCCCAGGUGACGAACAUUAUUACAAAAAGUAAUAAUAAUAUACUAGAUUCGGACCGCACGUACGUCCGAGAUUGAUUUAAAAGUUAAAGUUAUUAUUAGAUUUGCAGUAUAUUAUGUAUGUGCAGGAUCAUGU